UACGGAGGAUCCAAGCGUUAUCCGGAUUUAUUGGGUUUAAAGGGUGCGUAGGCGGGAGAUUAAGUCGGUGGUGAAAUUUUGCAGCUCAACUGUAAAAGUGCCAUUGAUACUGGUUUCCUUGAGUGUGGAUGAAGUAGGCGGAAUUUGUGGUGUAGCGGUGAAAUGCAUAGAUAUCACGAGGAACUCCGAUUGCGCAGGCAGCUUACUAAACCAUAACUGACGCUCAGGCACGAAGGCGUGGGGAUCAAACAGGAUUAGAUACCCU
rnacentral:rRNA from 1 species